rnacentral:rRNA from 1 species
GGUGAACGCUGGCGGCGUGCUUAAGACAUGCAAGUCGAACGGGCUCUUCGGAGCCAGUGGCGCACGGGUGAGUAACGCGUAACUGGCCUACCCCAAAGUCGCGGAUAACGAUUCGAAAGAAUCGCUAAUACGUGAUGUGCUGUCAGAUCCUGUUCUGCCAGUAAAGAUUUAUUGCUUUGGGAUGGGGUUGCGUUCCAUCAGCUAGUUGGUGGGGUAAAGGCCCACUAAGGCGACGACGGAUCGCCGGCCUGAGAGGGUGGCCGGCCACAGGGGCACUGAGACACGGGUCCCACUCCUACGGGAGGCAGCAGUUAGGAAUCUUCCACAAUGGGCGAAAGCCUGAUGGAGCGACGCCGCGUGAGGGAUGAAGGUCGUCGGAUCGUAAACCGCUGAAUCAGGGACGAAAGACGCGAAAGCGGGAUGACGGUACCUGAGUAAUAGCACCGGCUAACUCCGUG